rnacentral:rRNA from 1 species
AGUGAACGCUGGCGGUAGGCCUAACACAUGCAAGUCGAACGGCAGCACAGUAAGAGCUUGCUCUUACGGGUGGCGAGUGGCGGACGGGUGAGGAAUACAUCGGAAUCUACUUUUUCGUGGGGGAUAACGUAGGGAAACUUACGCUAAUACCGCAUACGACCUACGGGUGAAAGCAGGGGAUCUUCGGACCUUGCGCGAUUGAAUGAGCCGAUGUCGGAUUAGCUAGUUGGCGGGGUAAGGGCCCACCAAGGCGACGAUCCGUAGCUGAUCUGAGAGGAUGAUCAGCCACACUGGAACUGAGACACGGUCCAGACUCCUACGGGAGGCAGCAGUGGGGAAUAUUGGACAAAGGGCGCAAGCCUGAUCCAGCCAUACCGCGUGGGUGAAGAAGGCCUUCGGGUUGUAAAGCCCUUUUGUUGGGAAAGAAAAGCAGCAGGUUAAUACCCCGCUGUUCUGACGGUACCCAAAGAAUAAGCACCGGCUAACUUCGUG